rnacentral:rRNA from 1 species
CCUAUGGGGGGCAGCAGUGAGGGAUAUUGGUCAAUGGGGGAAACCCUGAACCAGCAACGCCGCGUGAGGGAAGACGGUUUUCGGAUUGUAAACCUCUGUCCUCUGUGAAGAUAAUGACGGUAGCAGAGGAGGAAGCUCCGGCUAACUACGUGCCAGCAGCCGCGGUAAUACGUAGGGAGCAGGCGUUGUCCGGAUUUAUUGGGUUUAAAGGGUGCGCAGGCGGCCUGUUAAGUCAGCGGUAAAAUCCCGGGGCUCAACCCCGGCGAGCCGUUGAAACUGGCGGGCUGGAGUUGGAGAGAAGUACGCGGAAUGCGCGGUGUAGCGGUGAAAUGCUUAGAUAUCGCGCAGAACCCCGAUUGCGAAGGCAGCGUACCGGCUCCACACUGACGCUGAGGCACGAAAGCGUGGGUAUCGAACAGGAUUAGAUACCCUAGUAGUC